rnacentral:misc_RNA from 1 species
AACGCACAUUGCGCCCGCUAGUAUUCUGGCGGGCAUGCCUGUUCGAGCGUCAUUUCAACCCUCAAGCCCUGCUUGGUGUUGGGGACCGGCCGCUGCCUAACCGCCGCGGCCGCCCCCGAAAUACAGUGGCGGUCUCGCUGCAGCCUCCCUUGCGUAGUAGCACACCUCGCACCGGAGCGCGGCGCGGCCACGCCGUUAAACCCCAACUUCUGAAUGUUGACCUCGGAUCAGGUAGGAAUACCCGCUGAACUUAA